AGAAUUGUAGUUCAAUUGGUUAAAGGACCGUCUUGUUAAGGGGGAAGCUGCGGGUUCGAGCCCCGUUAGUCUUA